rnacentral:rRNA from 1 species
CGCGUAGGUGGUUAGGUAAGCGAGAUGUGAAAGCCCCGGGCUUAACCUGGGAACGGCAUUUCGAACUGUCUGACUAGAGUAUGAUAGAGGGUAGUGGAAUUUCCUGUGUAGCGGUGAAAUGCGUAGAUAUAGGAAGGAACACCAGUGGCGAAGGCGGCUACCUGGACCAAUACUGACAUUGAGGUGCGAAAGCGUGGGGAGCAAACA